AACUGAUGUAUACCCAUUCUUUGUUGUUGGAGUACUACACUUAAUAUCUUCC
rnacentral:tRNA from 1 species